GUCCACGCCGUAAACGUUGGGCACUAGGUGUGGGACCCUGUCAACGGGUUCUGUGCCGCAGCUAACGCAUUAAGUGCCCCGCCUGGGGAGUACGGCCGCAAGGCUAAAACUCAAAGGAAUUGACGGGGGCCCGCACAAGCGGCGGAGCAUGUUGCUUAAUUCGAGGCAACGCGAAGAACCUUACCUGGGCUUGACAUGUAGGGAAAAGCUCUAGAGAUAGAGUGUCCUUAGGGGCCCUACACAGGUGGUGCAUGGCUGUCGU
rnacentral:rRNA from 1 species